UUCAACCAGCAUUUAUUAACCACUUAUAGUGUAUUCAAUAUUUGACUGGGGAGUGGAGUGGGAGGGCCUAGAGAAAAAGACUGCAAUAAAAUGUAGUGAAUUCAAUCUUUGCCCUCAGGGGAAUUCAAGCAAGGUAAAGCAAAAUAGAACAAAAAAUAAGAAAGGUAGAAUUGCAAAUGUCUUAGAGCUGGAAGGGAUUUCAGUGAACUCCCUCAUUUUAUGUGUGCUAUAAAUUCAUCUAGCUGAGAAAGCUAAACCCUAGAGAGAAGUGACUUGCUCAGGGUCACGCUGUGUGAAUUUCUAGAGUGGCUCAUUCCUCUUCUAAAGUCCUUCUCUGAUGCCUUAGUAUGGUCUGGGGGUCAAACUGGGCUCUUGAAGACUUGCCAGUGGAGUGCCGGCUGGUCCAGCAGGCCACACCAAACUAGAAAGGCUAAUAAGAAUUAAGGUGCAGUGAUGGACCAUAAAUUUGCCAACUGAAAACUUAACUAGUGAAGUUCAGAGUGGUGUCUCAUUGCCAAAAAGAUGGCCAGAGGGUGACAAAUUCCGCAGUUGAUGCAGCUUGCAGAGGCAAUUUGUGAAGACGUGGAUGGAGCAGCUAUAUCAGUUGAAUCAUUUGAGAUAACUGGGGCCGAUUUGCCCAAGGUCAUAUUGCGAGUUUGUGGCUGAGACAGUAAUGGUGAAGUGGAAAGCUUAACUUUGGAAUCAGAAGACCUAACUUCUAAUCCUGACUGCCACUCCUGAUCCACAGGGCCUUGGGAACAAAUGGUGGUAGACACAUAAUAGGCCUCAAGAAACACCUGGUUUGGAGCAGCGGAGUGGUGCAGUGGAUAGAACAUAAGCCCUGGAUUCAGGAGGACCUGAGUUCAAAUCCGGUCUCAGACACAUA